AAAUGCGAUAAGUAAUGUGAAUUGCAGAAUUCAGUGAAUCAUCGAAUCUUUGAACGCACAUUGCGCCCGCCAGUAUUCUGGCGGGCAUGCCUGUCCGAGCGUCAUUUCAACCAUCAAGCCCCCGGGCUUGUGUUGGGGACCUGCGGCUGCCCGCAGGCCCUGAAAACCAGUGGCGGGCUCGCUGUCACACCGAGCGUAGUAGCAAUCACCUCGCUCAGGGCGUGCUGCAGGUUCCGGCCGUUAAACAGCCUUACAAAACCCAAGGUUGACCUCGGAUCAGGUAGGAAGACCCGCUGAACUUAAGC
rnacentral:misc_RNA from 1 species